GCGGAUGUGGCGAAACUGGCAGACGCGCAAGUUUCAGGUACUUGUGGGCUAACCCCCUUGGAGGUUCGAUUCCUCUCAUCCGCA
rnacentral:tRNA from 1 species